AAGUCGUAACAAGGUUUCCGUAGGUGAACCUGCGGAAGGAUCAUAACUGUAUUCUUUUGCCAGCGCUUGUGCGUGGCGAAAAACCUUACACACUUGUUUUUCUUAUUUGAAGCUAUUGCUUUGGUCUGUCUUAGAAAUAAGUUGGGCCAAAGGUUUAAACCAAACUUCAAAAUUUAUAUUGAAUUGUUAUAAUUAUUUGUCAAUUUGUUGAUUAAAUUCAAAAAUCUUCAAAA
rnacentral:misc_RNA from 1 species